UGGGGAAUAUUGGACAAUGGGGGAAACCCUGAUCCAGCAAUGCCGCGUGAGUGAAGAAGGCCUUAGGGUUGUAAAGCUCUUUCGCCCGCGAAGAUAAUGACGGUAGCGGGAGAAGAAGCCCCGGCUAACUCCGUGCCAGCAGCCGCGGUAAUACGGAGGGGGCUAGCGUUGUUCGGAAUUACUGGGCGUAAAGCGUACGUAGGCGGAUGCGCAAGUUGGGGGUGAAAUCCCGGGGCUUAACCUCGUAAUUGCCCUCAAAACUGCACGGCUUGAGACCGAGAGAGNUAAGGGGAAUUCCUAGUGUAGAGGUGAAAUUCGUAGAUAUUAGGAAGAACACCAGUGGCGAAGGCGCCUUACUGGCUCGGUACUGACGCUGAGGUACGAAAGCGUGGGG
rnacentral:rRNA from 1 species